GCUGCGGUGGUGGAAUGGCAUACACGGGGGACUUAAACUCCCCUUCCGAAAGGAUUGUGGGUUCGAAUCCCACCCGCAGCACCA
rnacentral:tRNA from 2 species